rfam:Hydrogenobaculum sp. Y04AAS1, complete genome.
GGGGGCGAACGGUUUCGACGUUGGAGCGCCGGGUAGAUGAUAGCAGGCCAGGUGGCGACUGUGAUAGCCAAAACAAACAGCUCCCGAAGCUGAACUCUCUCUCGCUGCUUAACUAAAAGCAGCGCGUCCUUGCUGGUUUUGGUACCUUGGCCAGCUGUGGGCGUCAGAGAAAGGUGUCCUGGUUGGUGAUUUGCUGUCUUGCGCCAAACCAGUACUUAAGACAGCCUGAGGUUUGUGGUUUUUCAUAGGUUUUGCCUCAAACCCAGUAAGAGUGGCAAAGACACGUUUCUGGACUAAGGAACAGGCACAGCCACUCCUUAGCUCUGAGAAAUGCUGUUAGCACACUUAAUAAAACCUAUGUAAGCUUGUAGAAGUCAUCUAUCCCGGUUCUGACGGACGCGGGUUCGAUUCCCGCCGCCUCCACCA